rnacentral:rRNA from 1 species
UGGGGAAUUUUGGACAAUGGGCGAAAGCCUGAUCCAGCAAUGCCGCGUGUGUGAAGAAGGCCUUCGGGUUGUAAAGCACUUUUGUCCGGAAAGAAAUCCUUGGCUCUAAUACAGUCGGGGGAUGACGGUACCGGAAGAAUAAGCACCGGCUAACUACGUGCCAGCAGCCGCGGUAAUACGUAGGGUGCAAGCGUUAAUCGGAAUUACUGGGCGUAAAGCGUGCGCAGGCGGUUUGCUAAGACCGAUGUGAAAUCCCCGGGCUCAACCUGGGAACUGCAUUGGUGACUGGCAGGCUAGAGUAUGGCAGAGGGGGGUAGAAUUCCACGUGUAGCAGUGAAAUGCGUAGAGAUGUGGAGGAAUACCGAUGGCGAAGGCAGCCCCCUGGGCCAAUACUGACGCUCAUGCACGAAAGCGCGGGGAGCAAACAGGAUUAGAUACCCUGGUAGUCCACGCCCUAAAACGAUGUCAACUAGUUGUUGGGGAUUCAUUUCCUUAGUAACGUAGCUAACGCGUGAAGUUGACCGCCUGGGGAGUACGGUCGCAAGAUUAAAACUCAAAUGAAUUGACGGGGUCAUAGCUGUUUCCU